UAUGUUUUUAUAUGUAUAUAGACAUAUCUAUAUUUUAACAGUUAUUUUUACAACUUACCGGUAGCGUCAUCUAUGGAUUAAAGGUUCUGAUUAUUUAAAAUUAAUAUUUUUAAGAAAUAAAACAUUUAUGGAUAAAUUUUAAGAACAAAAUCGACUUUUUUUAAUAAUUAGGGAGUCUUGCCCCUAAGAAUAGUUGUACCUUAGGAUUAGGUACACUUUAAUUUAAAAUUUAAAUUUACGGUGGCGGCCUCUAGCAGACGUCAAAAAACGAUAUGGUGCUCUUCAGAAAUUUGUUUAUAAAAGAUUUAACAUAUAAAAAUGAUAUUUUUCACGUUUUACAAGAUUAAGUGAAUAAAACGAUACAUUUCCAUGAAUUAUCCAUCUUAGUAUUAAUGCGAAAUCACUUAAAUUGGCUGUAAAGUCUUGGAGAAAAAAGGGAUGUAUCUUUAUCUGAAAUAUUCAAAUUGCAAUGGAAGAAAAGUAAAUUAUAUAAAGAACUGUAUUUAUGUCCAUUAUGGAGUUAUAAUGCUUAUGAUUUUGAAAAAUCCAUUAAUAAAUGGAUUCCAACAUCAUGGGAAGGGAAAAGAGGGGUUGGAGAUAUAUAACUGUGCUGUUUUUGAGCACGUCAUUCCGACUUUACGUUACAGAAAGCUGAAGAAACAAGUCUAGCUCAAGAAACUGCCUUCAAAGGAACCAAAUUGGAAAAAUUUUAAUAAUUGUGUUCUGUAGGAUGAAUUUCAAAGCCAAUAAGUUGAAAGAGCCUUCACCAGACUCGAUGAUCUAUUUCAUAGAAUCAUUAAACCGCCUAAACUCAACUCUGUUUUGUUGCUGCUCAACAAUGUCAAAGUUGGAAUUGUAAUGUUAAUUAUCUACACAAACAGUUUGCAUAAAAUGAAGCUGUUAAAUCAUGUUUCCGGCUAUUUACAUUUACACCUGUGCCUGCUGGGAGGCCAAUAAUGAUAUUUGAUGUUGCUAAACUAAUAGGAAAAGUAUUUCCCAGUGUUACUUCUGCAAUCAUUUUAAACGAUUUCAAAUAUAAUAGAAAAUAUCCAUUGGACUGUGAUAUCUUUCACGAUUAUGACUUUCUUUCAUUAAAUGUUAAAUUAUAUGUAUUUAAAUUCAAAAAAUAAACACAAAAUGAAACAUUUUAACAGUUAAAGUGGUGCCAUCUGUUGGUUGAAAUACAAGUUAAGUAAUAAAAGUCUUAUGCGAU